rnacentral:rRNA from 1 species
GACGAACGCUGGCGGCGUGCCUAAUACAUGCAAGUAGAACGCACAGUUUAUACCGUAGCUUGCUACACCAUAGACUGUGAGUUGCGAACGGGUGAGUAACGCGUAGGUAACCUGCCUGGUAGCGGGGGAUAACUAUUGGAAACGAUAGCUAAUACCGCAUAAUAUUGAUUAUUGCAUGAUAAUUGAUUGAAAGAUGCUAUUGCUUCACUACCAGAUGGACCUGCGUUGUAUUAGCUAGUAGGUGAGGUAACGGCUCACCUAGGCGACGAUACAUAGCCGACCUGGGAGGGUGAUCGGCCACACUGGGACUGAGACACGGCCCAGACUCCUACGGGAGGCAGCAGUAGGGAAUCUUCGGCAAUGGACGAAAGUCUGACCGAGCAACGCCGCGUGAGUGAAGAAGGUUUUCGGAUCGUAAAGCUCUGUUGUAAGAGAAGAACGGGUGUGAGAGUGGAAAGUUCACACUGUGACGGUAUCUUACCAGAAAGGGACGGCUAACUACGUG